AAGCCUGACGGAGCAAUACCGCGUGAGGGAAGACGGCCUAUGGGUUGUAAACCUCUUUUUUCAGGGAGGAAAAAAUGACGUGUACCUGAAGAAUAAGCAUCGGCUAACUACGUGCCAGCAGCAGCGGUAAUACGUAGGACACAAGCGUUAUCCGGAAUCACUGGGCGUAAAGCGUCUGUAGGUGGUCAAAUAAGUCAACUGUUAAAUCUUGAGGCUCAACCUCGAAAUCGCAGUCGAAACUAUUAGACUAGAGUAUAGUAGGGGUAAAGGGAAUUUCCAGUGGAGCGGUGAAAUGCGUAGAGAUUGGAAAGAACACCGAUGGCGAAGGCACUUUACUGGGCUAUUACUAACACUCAGAGACGAAAGCUAGGGUAGCAAAUGGGAUUAGAUACCCCAGUAGUC
rnacentral:rRNA from 1 species